rnacentral:lncRNA from 1 species
AUUCCCUUUUAGAUCAGACCAAUCUACUUAAUCUCACAACUUAGCUUGUAUAGAUCUAUCAGUAAACACUGCUCAUUCUUUCUACUCAAAUGAAAACACCCUGCUCCUCAUCAAUCCAUUCUCACUUGAGUAUAAACAUGACCAUAUAAGCUAACACCUGCUAUUUCCCUGCACAUUCCUGUAUGUGAAGAUAUUCAAUUAUGAUCUUAAGAGAAAUACAAGGAUCAUAACUUUUGAUUCUUAGAGAAUCCACCCUACCUAGAAAAUAACAUCUUCAAUAACAAAGUAUAGAUUGAUUGAUACACAUCCCUUUAUUGUAUUCAUAUAUGAGUUUAUCAUUAUUUUGAUAUCAAACUUCCAGGAAAAAAAAAGGAAGAA